rnacentral:rRNA from 1 species
UUCCAGACUCCUACGGGAGGCAGCAGUGGGGGAUAUUGGACAAUGGGGGGAACCCUGAUCCAGCGAUGCCGCGUGAGGGAAGAAGGUUUUCGGAUUGUAAACCUCUGUGGACAGGGACGAUAAUGACGGUACCUGUCAAGAAAGCCACGGCUAACUACGUGCCAGCAGCCGCGGUAAUACGUAGGGGGCAAGCGUUAUCCGGAAUUACUGGGUGUAAAGGGAGCGUAGACGGCUGUGCAAGUCUGGAGUGAAAGGCGGGGGCCCAACCCCCGGACUGCUCUGGAAACUGUCGAGCUAGAGUGUCGGAGGGGUAAGCGGAAUUCCUAGUGUAGCGGUGAAAUGCGUAGAUAUUAGGAGGAACACCAGUGGCGAAGGCGGCUUACUGGACGAUGACUGACGCUGAGGCUCGAAAGCGUGGGGAGCAAACAGGAUUAGAUACCCUAGUAUC